rnacentral:rRNA from 1 species
CCUACGAGAGGCAGCAGUGGGGAAUAUUGCACAAUGGGGGAAACCCUGAUGCAGCGACGCCGCGUGAGUGAAGAAGUAAUUCGUUAUGUAAAGCUCUAUCAGCAGGGAAGAAAAUGACGGUACCUGAGUAAGAAGCCCCGGCUAACUACGUGCCAGCAGCCGCGGUAAUACGUAGGGGGCAAGCGUUAUCCGGAUUUACUGGGUGUAACGGGAGCGUAGACGGCAGUGCAAGUCUGGAGUGAAAGGCGGGGGCUCAACCCCCGGACUGCUCUGGAAACUGUACGGCUGGCGUGCAAGAGAGGUAAGUGGAAUUCCUAGUGUCGCGGUGAAAUGCGUAGAUAUUAGGAGGCACCCCAGUGGCGAAGGCGGCUUACUGGACUGUAACUGACGUUGAGGCUCGAAAGCGUGGGGAGCAAACAGGAUUAGAUACCCUUGUAGUC